CUACAUUGUAUUGAGACUAGAGUCACAUCCUGACAUGGCACUUGUCCUGGUGUGCUAGAGUUCUCGUAGAAAAUCUGCUGGUCUUGAUUCACUGGUAGG
rnacentral:miRNA from 14 species